rnacentral:ncRNA from 13 species
GGAAUUAGCUCAGUAGGUAGAGCGUUCGUCUCAUAAUCCGACGAUAUCCUAUGUGUGACAUGCGUCAGCGAAAGGUCAGGAGUUCGAUCCUCUUAUUCC